rnacentral:rRNA from 1 species
AACAGGAUGCUGACGAAAUGGUUUUAAACGACCCGUCUUGAAACACGGACCAAGGAGUCUAACAAAUAUGCGAGUAUGCGGGUGGCAAACCCAAAUGCGCAAUGAAAGUGAAAAUGGUGGGAUCUUCGGUGCACCAUCGACCGGUCUGGAUUUUUUUGAUAGAUCUGAGUAAGAGCAUAUCUGUUAGGACCCGAAAGAUGGUGAACUAUGUCUGAAUAGGGUGAAGCCAGAGGAAACUCUGGUGGAGGCUCGUAGCGAUUCUGACGUGCAAAUCGAUCGUCAAAUUUGGGUAUAGGGGCGAAAGACUAAUCGAACC